AGGUAAUGUCUACUGUACCUUUAUCACUGUAGGCACUCGGCCAUGCUGUGGGUUUCGUAGCCUUAGACGCGAGUCGUCAAGGGUGUGGCGUGAGGAAGGGUUCAAUGCCCU
rfam:Paenibacillus mucilaginosus 3016, complete genome.